GGUUGGGAGAGCUGACACUGGUUAGGAAGGCAGGGGAACUGGAGCAGGUGGAGAAGCUGUCAGUUGUACUGGGAAGGAGUGAACCGGGGCGUGGGGGUAAGAUGGCAGAGAUCGGACUGCCAGCGUAGUUUGUGGCACUCCUCCUCCAGGCACCAGCUAUCUCUGGGCCACCUAGUCACUGUCUUCCAGACCACCGCCCCUUUUAUGAACUCUACAGGAUCAUGACUAUCCAACGGCCUCCAUCAUGGACACAAAGAGCCUUGGGAGAGGACAAGCAUCCCCAAGAGGCAGUCGUGUGUCUUCAGGACAGUGAAGUCUGAGAGUUUUGACUCUGAACACUUAAAGAACAAGAAUCUAAGGGUGCCCUCUGCCUAGGGUGGAGCAUCUGUUCUUUCUUUUGUCUGACAGUGGACGCAUGCUCCUUCUCCAAGUGGCUGCAGCAUCCAGGGUGUGUCCCCUCCAGCUCUGCCCGACUCUCUUCAAGAGCUUCCACUUCUCCAGCUGGUUGGCUUUUGUUCCUUGGGAAUGGAUGGACUGGGUGUGGCUAGACACCCAGAAUGGACAAUCUAGCGGUCUGAAUGAGGAUGGGGUCCAAGAGAUGGGGUUGAGGGAGAACAAAGAACUCCUUCUGUUUCAGAGGCAGAUCUCCACCAACUGCUUGAGUGAGAAGGCACGUUACCUUAUGUGGAUCAAAGGACCCGUUCCUCUAUGAAAGCAUCUUGGAAAGACGCUGAAGCUAAGGUCAACCACUGGAGUGAGAAGAUUUUAAAAAAGAAAUCAAAGGAGGAGGAAGAUGAAGUACCUGAACACAUACAUUUGCUGAAUCUUUUGUUUUUAGCAUCAGUUGACUGGUGAGGGGGUCACUUGGGCAUGACAUUUGGUCUAAAUUCUGCUGAAAUUUCAGAGAAGAAACAUUGAAGUAGAAAGUAGAAAUUGGCAAUGACCCCUGUGAAGAGGAAUGCAUGAUUCUAAAAACAAAGCUGAUUCAUGGCUGAUAAAAAUAGGAAAAGAAACAACAGAAGCCACCAGCUGCAAAGGAAGUGAACAUUUACAAGCUGAGGAGUGCAGACAUGUUGAAUGAAUUACAGGCAACAGAGUGAUCACACAAACUCCCAGACUGUUCUUCAUGGUGAGAAAGCUCACGACAGCUGGCUCAACAUUCUUGCUAGACUGAAAUCAAUACCCUAAACCGGUAACUUACAGAGUGAACUCAUCCUCAGCAUGCUCUUCUGCUCCACCCAUUAAAUUGGUGGUGGUGGAAGGAGACACACAAGCUUUGUACUCACGUGAAAGAUGUUCACAGCUACGAAUUCUUUGACAUGGUAAUCUGGGAAGUGGCACAGUGGAUAAAACAUUGAAUGUUCAGACAUGAA